rnacentral:rRNA from 1 species
UACGUAGGGCGCAAGCGUUGUCCGGAAUUAUUGGGCGUAAAGAGCUCGUAGGCGGCUUGUCACGUCGGGUGUGAAAGCCCGGGGCUUAACCCCGGGUCUGCAUUCGAUACGGGCUGGCUGGAGUGUGGUAGGGGAGAUCGGAAUUCCUGGUGUAGCGGUGAAAUGCGCAGAUAUCAGGAGGGACACCGGUGGCGAAGGCGGAUCUCUGGGCCAUUACUGACGCUGAGGAGCGAAAGCGUGGGGAGCGAACAGG